rnacentral:rRNA from 1 species
NNNUGCGAUCAUACCAGCACUAAAGCAUCAGAUCCCAUCAGAGCUCCGAAGUUAAGCAUGCUUGCGCGAGAGUAGUACUAGGAUGGGUGACCUCCUGGGAAGUCCUCGUUAAAUAUUUU